AUGCCAUGUUGAGGGCAUUGCCUAAGUAGUUCCUUGAAUCGUUCCCAAGCUUCAAAUAGUGAUUCUUCCUCUCCUUGCCUAAAUGAGGUGAUUUGGUUUCUCAUUUU